rnacentral:rRNA from 1 species
GACAGAGGUGCCGAGCGUUAGGCGGAAUCACUGGGCUUAAAGCGUGUGUAGGCGGCCCGUUAAGUGCCUCGUGAAAUCCCCCGGCUCAACCGGGGAACUGCCGGGCAUACUGGCGGGCUUGGGUCGCUCAGGGGCAGACGGAACAGGCGGUGGAGCGGUGAAAUGCGUAGAUAUCGGGAGGAACACCAAUGGCGAAGGCAGCUCGCUGGGACGGUACUGACGCUGAGACGCGAAAGCGUGGGGAGCAAACAGG